CAAAAACAGAUUUUUUUCAAAUUGUAAAAACCUUUUUUUUAAAAACAUGAAAAGAUUUGAUAAAGACCUUGAAAAAUAUCGUGAAAAUUUCUAGAAAAUUGAAAAUACGCUGAACUAUAUCUACAUAGUAAGAAAUUAUCCAAUGAAUAGGAAUGACGUAAUUUGAUUUUCUCAAAAUCCAUUCAAGUUACAAAGUGAAUAGGUAAGGUAGGUACCCCUCUCUAAUAAUUCGACCUCCAAAAAUACAUACUAAUCGAACUCUUAACAGUAUUUUUCACACACACUGGGCCAACAACAUGAAAUAUUAUCGCGACAAAAUUGUUUUUUGGAAACAGAGAAGCGAUAAUUUAAUAACAUUACCAAAAAAAAAAUGGCCAGUUGAACGUAUUUUUGCAGUUACUUCAUACGUACCUAACUGAGUAAUUUAAACUCGAGCUACUUUCCUCACGAUACGAUUUCUUCAUUCAAAAUGGCUAAUUUAAAAUUAUCAGUAAUCUUUGCUUUUGUCAGCGUUUUUGCAUUUUUCGCUGUUACAGAAGCUCAAAAGAUUGGAUUUUUCAGCGGUCUGAUUAUUCACCCACUCGAUUUCUGGUACUACAUUUCUAACAAAUUUGGAUUUGACAAAUUGGCGAAUAUUUUUGGAUACAUCAGAUAUUUUAUAGCCAUAACUCUUUAUGCGCUAGGUUUGUUGAAGUUUUAGAAGAUUUCAAGUUUUAAGAUGAUUUACAUACCUAUUAUUAAUUCAUAUUGUAACAAGAUAUUCAAAAUCUUAAACAAUCUAAAUUUCAAAACAGCAUCGAGAAAACUUCAUUUUUGGAAUCGGAAGAAUACCUACCUACAUUACCAUUAGAAUUUAGAAAUAAUUACCUAUAAGAUAAGAUGAGUUCUACAUAUCAUAAGUAAGCACAUUGAUGAAUAAAUACACGAAUAAAUUUUUGCACCAGUA